CCGAUGGCGGUCCUGGUCACGGCCCUUUCUUCCCUGGGGCAGGGCAGCCUGAUAUGACAUCGUCGAGGCAGUUUGGACGGAAGCCCAAGCAUCACUGAGCAAAGUCAGUAUCCUCCUAUACCUUGCUACUUAUUCUAAGUGUGUUUCAUGGACCAGCAAAAUGGACCUCAUCUAGGAGCUUGUUGGAAAUGCAGAAUCUCAGCCCGACUUACGGAAUCAGAAUCUACAUGUCAACAAGAUCCCCAGGGGCUGUGUGUGCACAUCAAAGUGUGAGAGUUUUCUGCCCUAGUGCCACUGCUUUAAGAACUACAGCUUGGUCAUCUCUAGAAGAAAAUCUAGCAUUUGUGAGUUGCCACUUCUCCUGCACUCCAAAAUGCACGUCCCAGCCCCUGACCCAUUAGAAUGAGGUUGUCCAGGGAUGUACGGUGCUCUUGCUCCUUCUGGCCAUCUCAUCUCCCCUCUCCUUUUCUGAAGCUCUUUCACUGGUCAGCAACCCGGCCCUUCUUUGCCAUUAUGAGAGAAACUUCUCUGCUGUUUGCUGAUCGAACUGAUAAUUUGUUUUCUUGAAAAGCGUGUUUUAAUUCAAGGGAGUUGUUGUUAAGGCAAGUCUGUCUGCUGUGAGUUUUAUCUCCUCUCUGUUGCUUCCUGGCAGUGCCACCCAGGGUCCUGGCAUGCAUCUUCUGGAACCCAAAGGGCAAACAACACCCUUAGACUUCCACACAAUCCCCGGCUUCUCCUCCACAUCUUUCCUCAGCUAUCCAGCUGUGCAGAGCUGGCACACGGGCAUGCCCUGCCUUCAUUCUUCCCAGCUCAUACCUG
rnacentral:lncRNA from 1 species